GUCUGGCCACAGCUACUUUCCUGCGCUGUGAAACUCACAUAUGAGACAGGUUCAAGAUGACUGACUAAAAGCAGCUAGUGUGUACCACUCUCUCGGAGGAGACAGAGUGGUGAAUACACACUAGCUCUUAAAGUGGAUUGCCCAGGAGACCACGCUGCGAUUCAUUAAGGAAACAAUGACAACCCAUGGAGAGCAGAGAAGAGCAAGGCACCUACCCAGGAUUGGCAUGGAGCCAGGAGAGGCUGCCUGUCCCUUUAAAAUGAUUCACGGAAUUGACUACAUCAUAAUCAUUUGUUCCUGAUACACCGUUAUUUUUCU
rnacentral:lncRNA from 10 species